GCUGCUGUGCAUGCAUGGUAGCGUGGCAUAGGUUGCAGGGCAUGGGCCAUUUGCAUGCAUCGACUUGUAGCAGCUUGCUAUUUUGCUAUGUGUACUAGGAAUUGGGAUCCAUUUGCAUGCAAUGUGACAUCGCAAAGGUAAUUAUGGGGGUUUGUCUCUGUUGCUACUUAAAUGAGCCUUUUUGGGUGGUUGAUUUAAGUUUUUUUAUCGGAUUUUUCGAUGUUGCAUUUGAACUUUAAAUUUAUAAAAAUCUUAUAUAAUUUUUAUUGUGAAAGCAUAGGCAAGAUGUUGUAAGCAUUUUUAGCUUGUUGACACAAGUUUGAUUUUUCUCAGAUUUUUCUAUGUGGCAUAUGUGCUUUAAAUUUGUAACAAACUCGUAUGAUUUUUGAUGUGAAACCAUAUGAGAGAUGUUGUAAAGUAUUUUGGGUGUUUGACAAGUUUUUUCUUCUCAUAUUUUUUGAUGUUGCAUACCUACUUUAAAAUUGUAACAAAGUCGCAAGAAUUUUGUUGUGAAAGCACAUGCGAGAUAUUGUAAGAUAUUUUAGGCGGAUGAUACAUGUAUGUAUUUUCUCAAAAAUUUCGAUGUUACAUACGUGCUUUAAAUUUGUAGCAGGCUCGUAUGAUUUUUGUUGUUAAAGCAUAGAUGCGAUGUUGUAAGCUUUUUUGGGGUUUGAUAAAGGCUUUUUCCCUCAUAUUUUUUUAUGUUGCCUACAUACUUUAAAAUUGUAAAUAACUCGUAUAAAUUUUGUAGUUAAAGCACAUGCUAGAUGUUGUAAAGCAUUUUGGGCUUUUGAGACAAAUUUGUGUUUCCUGUUGGAUUUUCUUGGAACAUAACAGCUGCUAAUUCACGUCUGCUUGUCUGGACUUAGCUUGUAGCAUGAGGUAGUCUCAUCAAUCAAGUGGAACGAAAGCACUGUGAAGACAAGCUAGUAUGAAAGCACACAGCUAGCAAAGAAUAGUGCAAGGUUGCGUAGUGUACAGAGAAAGGACGGCAUGCAAACGCGCUACGCGCAGGCUGGGCGCAGCGACCACGGAAAGCAAGCGCAGUGGGAACGUGACAUCAUGCAUGAAACGGUGGCCUCCAGCACGUGGGGAGAACGCGACCACUAUUUUUUACCGUACGAUGCGCAUCUGACGCUCGCCCUGCGACCGAUCUGACGCGCGGUAUCAGUCGGCCGACGGCUAGCGCAGCCCUUUUUUAAUUUAAGAUUGUUUUGUCCGUGUGUGGUGAAUGGGCAGGUGCGGGUCAGCCCUCCGGUGGCAUUUUGCCAGUAAAUACGUGGUAUAGAAGGGCCAAAGGGCUAUGGCUAUUCGGGUUGAGCUAGAAAAAGCUCGGGAAGCACCUCCGGGUGUGCUUUUUCGUUUAUGCAGGAGAGUCACCUGCUUCGGCCGAAGCCCAACGCUCAGCCAAACCAUUUGUUUCGUUUGCACUGUUUAUUUCUGUGAAAAGCAGCUGGAAGCUCAAACAAAGAGGCCCUAAGCAUGCUACGGACUUGCCCAAGCAGAAAAGUCUUUCCUGCUUCCAUGUAAUCCAUCCUUUAAUUGGCAACCAAACAUAUAUAGGGCAUUGGCUGCAUCAGUGUAUGUAUGACACUGUUUUGGGUUCUUUUGUGGUACCCUUAAAUAAAUAUCAGCCAUCUAUUUUCGUGGAUCUGAUGGUCCAUAACAAUUCAUACUACUGCCAAAAAAGUGAGUAGUAUGGUUCAUACCACUGGCAGAAUUAGCACCGGAAAAAAAAUCACGUAAACGCCCCGGCCCAAAAGCCCCCUGACCCAAGGCAGUUGCAUGUGUGAUAUAAUAAAAAAAAACCACGAGCUCGUCCGUCACCUCGUCGACGCCUCGUCUCCCGAUGAAGCCUACCUCCGUCGCCUACCUCGAGUGGCCACAGUGUCGCCGCUGUGUUCCGGUGAUCCUCGUCGGCGAGAGUAUGUCCCACGUCGCUACUUCCGCGAGUCCACCGUGAAGUGAGCAGGAGGCUGGCGACCGUGGGGUGGAGCUUCUAUGGAUGUGGGGGAGGCCGGCGAGGGGGUGGCGCAGGGGACGGGAGAAGAUCUAUGAAGUGGUCGCCGGUACAGGGAGGGUGACGUGAAAUGGAGGAGUCCAUGGGAGGAUCCUCGCUCGUGUUUGGUGAUGGUGGUCCUCCGCAUCGGCGGCCUGUUGCCUCCUUCGCAUCUCCGGCAUCAGUCCUUCUCGGUGCUCCUCGUCGCCAUCCAGAUUGUGGUCGACCGCGAGCUGGAAAUGCACCCGGUGAACUGCAGCUGCGUUUGCGUGCGAGAGGACGGAGUGAGGCGUUCAGUACUCCACGCCCAUGCAGGCGGUCAGCUGCGAGGUGGCUGGCGCUCGUGCAGGUGCCUGUUCCAGGUGGCCGGUGCUCAUUUGUGCUGACCAACCAGCAAAAAUUGCUCACGCGCCGUCUAGCAUCGACAAGGGGACGUAUGCGGUGGCGGCGGCGUGCUCGGGCGUGUGGACGGUGGCCGCGUGCGAGGUGGAGGCGGCGUUGUCUCUACUGCAAGUCACGGCGGCGUGCUAGGCCGUGCAGGCGUUGGCUGCGUGCCGAGAUGGAGCCGGCGACGUCGCUGGUGGAGGUGACGGCGGCGUACACGGCAGUGUAGCUGUCCACAUGGGAGGUGGAGGCGGGAGCGGCGGCAUGGGGAAUUGUUGGGCGCGUCGCUUCAGCAUUUGUUGAUCCUGUUUCUCUUAGUUCUACCUUUUUUUUCCAAUAAUUACAGCACGUUGGGCCUGCUGGGCCUAAACUGUGACAUCAAAUCUGAACCGCUUGUUUAAUUCAUACCUCUCUCUAUUUCAGGAGUGGUAAAAGGUACUGUAAAAGUUGCCGUUUUUUUGUAUCAGAAUUCACUAUUCUUAUUACUACCAAUCAACUAACAGUUAACUAAUGAUAUAAAUUAAUGAUCAUGUUGAAUCUUCAGGAUGAAUUCAAGGACCUAAAGCCGAUACACCAGGUUUUAUGGGAGUUGAUAGUGCAUUUUCCGGGAAGAAAAAUCCUUACCCUUAUGGCAGGGACAAGUGUGGUUGUUAUGAUAGCCACUGAUGGAAGCGAAGUGAAGGUGGCUAAGAAGAAGCAAGAGCGAGUGAAGGGGUGAGAGAAGAAGCAGAGCAAGUGAACGAGGCAGAGAAGAAGCAAGACGUUUUUUUAAUGUCUGGGAAUGUUACCCAGCCCUAUAUAUUGUCACUGUUCUGAGGAUGUUUAUGAUAUGCUAGCUAGAACCUGAGUAUCACUGAUGAACUCCUAUAUGUGCUAUCUUGUGUGACAUGGUAUGUUUUCACGUAUAAUUGA